GACGAACGCUGGCGGCGUGCCUAAUACAUGCAAGUAGAACGCUGACGGAGUAGCUUCUUUCUCUGGAUGAGUUGCGAACGGGUGAGUAACGCGUAGGUAACCUGCUUUGUAUCGUGGUAUAACUAUUGGUAACGAUAGCUACUACCACAUAAUAGUAGAUGUUGCAUGACAUUUGCUUAAACUUUGCAAUUGCAUCACUACCAGAUGGCCCUGCGUUGUAUUCGCUAGUUGGUGGGGUAAAGGCUCACCAAGGCGACGAUACAUAGCCGACCUGAGAGGGGGGUCGGCCAAACUGGGACUGGGACACGGGCCAGACUCCUAAGGGAGGCAGCAGUAGGGAAUCAUCGGCAAAGGACGGAAGGCUGAACGAGCAAAGACGCGGGAGUGAAGAAGGGUUUCGGAGCGGAAAGCUCUGUUGUAAGAGAAGAAAAAGCGGGAGGGUAGAAAGUUCACACUGUGACGGUAUCUUACCAGAAAGCAACGGCUAACUACGUG
rnacentral:rRNA from 1 species